CGCCAACAGUGCCAUGUCCACGGUCCAGUUGGGGACCGUGCAGGCGCUCCAUCCCUUCCCUGCUACAGGGAUGAUGGGCGGGCAGCAGCAGAGGCCGUCAGGAGUCACCAGCCGCUUGUGAGCCCCUGCCGUCAGAGGACGUGCAGCCAAAGCCCAACCAGGGGUUGCCAUUACGACAGAGAGACCCGGGGCUGCACAGAUCACCGAAGGCAGCGAGAUGCUCAAUACAACGCGGGGCGGCCGGGAGACGGGGCCUCGAGGCCCCCGAGGACGCCCGUGGGGGACGGAGGGAAGUUUUUGAGGACCCUGAGUCUGCAAGCCGCUCUCCAGACCACGCUGAACGGCUCCCACACCUGUCCCCAGCUCCACGGCCACCGCCCCGACGCUCCUCCAAGUGACCCCAAGAGACUGCGGGCGCCCCACCUACUGAUCAGUGACCGCGCGACGCUCUCGAGCCCGCGCGCGCCGCCUCCGCACCUCCCGCCGCAGUACGCAGUUGCGAGGGGCGGAACUUCCUCCCCACGUCCCGGAAACCGGAAGAGACUCUUUUUCCGCCGGAAGGAGAGCGGAGCUGCGAGGGUGGUGAGACCCGGGAGGGUCGGCUUUGUCGCGUGGGGUGAGGCUGCGCUCUGUUCNCUCUUUUUCCGCCGGAAGGAGAGCGGAGCUGCGAAGGUGGUGAGACCCGGGAGGGUCGGCUUUGUCGCGUGGGGUGAGGCCGCGCUCUGUUCGGUCGGUGGGGCGGGUAACACCAGCGUCCUGGCGGGCUGGCUGGCGUAUCGGGCUUCGGGGGAUGCGGCGGGGAGCGGAAGUCGAGGUAUAUGAGCUCUUUGAAAGCAGAGUGCUGUCGUUGCCAUGUUCCAAUCAUUCAGAGGUUACGAAGGCACAGUUCCUGCCUUUGAUUUGCUUAACAGUCGAGUGGAGUAGAGGCAGGUCAUUGGUUGCAGUACAGCCUCUUAAGUGUGCCAAAAGAGGUGAGUGUGUGGCACUUCACUUGGCCUGGGAGAGGGAGGAAUCAGGUAGUGCUUCUGAGAAGUGACCUGAGCCACAGAGGCAUUAGGUGGACAAGGAAGGGGAGGGCCAUUCUUAGUGCCUAGGAAUCUGGCAGCUUUGUAAAUUACAGAUUGUACAAAAGACACUAUCAAGUAUCUUGCCCCUUUCUCCAGAGCUCUGUCUUACUUUUGGAUAGUCCUGCUCUGGUUUUUUCUCUCUCACUGCCCCUCUCCCCCUUAGUUGGAUGGGUAUUUGGGAUAUGAAAGGAAGUCAGAGGGUAGAAUCUUUCUGAGUUUGCUAUGAAAUAGUAUGUGUAUUCAGUAAUUCCGUCUCUAAAAUCUAAGUUCCUGCUUUCUUAAAAUGCACAGCUGGGAAAUCUCAGUUUUGUUGGUUGAGUGCUUUGCCAGUGGAUGGAUUAUAUUGUCUCCUGUCCCAUCGAUUUGAGUUUAACGGUAUCUGUUAAGCUCCUUUCAAAGAAGAGACCCACAUUUAGCUUAGGAAUGAGCAUGGGGGAUACAGCAAGAUUUGAAUCUGAGUAAUAUAAAACCACAUUUUUAUUGGUUAUGUGUAAGUGACUACAUGUUGUUUUAAUCAGCUUCCAGUUGUUAAGUUGAAUUUGCAUAAUUCAAAUAAAUGAUAGUUUAAUUCUACCA
rnacentral:lncRNA from 1 species